CUGGCAGUCAGAGGCGAUGAAGGACGUGCUAAUCUGCGAUAAGCGUCGGUGAGGUGAUAUGAACCGUUAUAACCGGCGAUUUCCGAAUGGGGAAACCCAGUGUGUUUCGACACACUAUCAUUAACUGAAUCCAUAGGUUAAUGAGGCGAACCGGGGGAACUGAAACAUCUAAGUACCCCGAGGAAAAGAAAUCAACCGAGAUUCCCCCAGUAGCGGCGAGCGAACGGGGAGGAGCCCAGAGCCUGAAUCAGUGUGUGUGUUAGUGGAAGCGUCUGGAAAGGCGUGCGAUACAGGGUGACAGCCCCGUACACAAAAAUGCACAUAUUGUGAGCUCGAUGAGUAGGGCGGGACACGUGGUAUCCUGUCUGAAUAUGGGGGGACCAUCCUCCAAGGCUAAAUACUCCUGACUGACCGAUAGUGAACCAGUACCGUGAGGGAAAGGCGAAAAGAACCCCGGCGAGGGGAGUGAAAAAGAACCUGAAACCGUGUACGUACAAGCAGUGGGAGCCUCUUAAUGGGGUGACUGCGUACCUUUUGUAUAAUGGGUCAGCGACUUAUAUUCUGUAGCAAGGUUAACCGAAUAGGGGAGCCGAAGGGAAACCGAGUCUUAACUGGGCGUUAAGUUGCAGGGUAUAGACCCGAAACCCGGUGAUCUAGCCAUGGGCAGGUUGAAGGUUGGGUAACACUAACUGGAGGACCGAACCGACUAAUGUUGAAAAAUUAGCGGAUGACUUGUGGCUGGGGGUGAAAGGCCAAUCAAACCGGGAGAUAGCUGGUUCUCCCCGAAAGCUAUUUAGGUAGCGCCUCGUGAAUUCAUCUCCGGGGGUAGAGCACUGUUUCGGCAAGGGGGUCAUCCCGACUUACCAACCCGAUGCAAACUGCGAAUACCGGAGAAUGUUAUCACGGGAGACACACGGCGGGUGCUAACGUCCGUCGUGAAGAGGGAAACAACCCAGACCGCCAGCUAAGGUCCCAAAGUCAUGGUUAAGUGGGAAACGAUGUGGGAAGGCCCAGACAGCCAGGAUGUUGGCUUAGAAGCAGCCAUCAUUUAAAGAAAGCGUAAUAGCUCACUGGUCGAGUCGGCCUGCGCGGAAGAUGUAACGGGGCUAAACCAUGCACCGAAGCUGCGGCAGCGACACUAUGUGUUGUUGGGUAGGGGAGCGUUCUGUAAGCCUGUGAAGGUGGCCUGUGAGGGUUGCUGGAGGUAUCAGAAGUGCGAAUGCUGACAUAAGUAACGAUAAAGCGGGUGAAAAGCCCGCUCGCCGGAAGACCAAGGGUUCCUGUCCAACGUUAAUCGGGGCAGGGUGAGUCGACCCCUAAGGCGAGGCCGAAAGGCGUAGUCGAUGGGAAACAGGUUAAUAUUCCUGUACUUGGUGUUACUGCGAAGGGGGGACGGAGAAGGCUAUGUUGGCCGGGCGACGGUUGUCCCGGUUUAAGCGUGUAGGCUGGUUUUCCAGGCAAAUCCGGAAAACCAAGGCUGAGGCGUGAUGACGAGGCACUACGGUGCUGAAGCGACAAAUGCCCUGCUUCCAGGAAAAGCCUCUAAGCAUCAGGUAACAUCAAAUCGUACCCCAAACCGACACAGGUGGUCAGGUAGAGAAUACCAAGGCGCUUGAGAGAACUCGGGUGAAGGAACUAGGCAAAAUGGUGCCGUAACUUCGGGAGAAGGCACGCUGAUAUGUAGGUGAAGCGACUUGCUCGUGGAGCUGAAAUCAGUCGAAGAUACCAGCUGGCUGCAACUGUUUAUUAAAAACACAGCACUGUGCAAACACGAAAGUGGACGUAUACGGUGUGACGCCUGCCCGGUGCCGGAAG
rnacentral:rRNA from 1 species